AGGCGGGUGGAUCACUUGAGGUCAGGAGUUUGAGGCCAGGCUGGCCAACAUGGUGAAACUCCAUCUCUACUAAAAAUACAAAAGUUAGCUGGAUGUGGUGGCCUGCACCUGUAGUCCUAGCUACUUGGGAAGAUGAAGCAGAAGAGUUGCUUACCCAGGAGGCAGAGGUUGCAGAGAGCCAAGAUUGUGCCACUGCACUCCAGUCUGGGAGCAAGACAUCAUCUCAAAAAAAAAAAAAAAAAAAAAAAAAAAGAGUUGAACCUGCAUGGUAGCCAUUUUGACAGACUGGGAAGCCUAGCUUCCAGUCAGAAGCCAAAAACAGGCACUUCCAGGGUUGGAAGAAUAAGACAGGGAUUUAUGCUAAACACAGUGGCCAAAUAUACAUGUUAAAUAAACUGUAAGAGGGGUCACGAAUAUUUAUGAAAGGAGCAAUUUGUGCAUGUGCAGUUGAGCUUCAUGCCUCUCUGUGGAUCCCAUGUUUAAAAAAUGGUGGCCUUAGCAUGAUCCAAGGGUAGAGUUUUCUACCGCUUGACUUCAAAAGGUGAAGCAGGGGAUGUGAAAACCCUCACUGCACGUCCUCUGUCGACUGGCCAGAACCACUCCCUGGAUGGUGGGUGAUCUCUUAUCAGGAAGGAAUGCUAGUCGGUUGUUCUAUUGAAACUGCAAAUGGGAGGGUCAGCAUCAGGCUGGUGGAGUGAGUCUUUCAAAAGGGCUGGUUUCUGUUUAACCCUUAGGAAAGAAAAUCUAAUGGCGAUUAUAGAGGGAGGGGUUAUAAAGAGGUGUGUCCGACUUCCCAUCCUGUCAUGAGUAGGAACUCAGCUUCCAAGUUUUUUCUAGGGUCUCCUUGGCCAAGAGAGGGCCUGUUCAGUCAGUUGGGGGGCAUAGAAUUUUAUUUUUAUUUUUCAGUUGACAAAAGUUAACUUAUUGUGAAAGGAACCCAACAACAAAAAGAUAAACCGAAUUUAAAACAAAACAAAACCAAAAAGAACACAAUUUAUAAAUGUGCAAAGGGGCUGGGAGUGGUGGUUCAUGCCUGUAGUCCCAGCGCUUUGGGAGGCUGAGGUGAGUGGCUCGCUUGAGCUCAGAGUUUGAGACUAGCUCUGGCAACAUGGCAAAACUCUGUCGCUACAAAAAAAUGACAAAAAUUAGCUAGGCAUGGUGACACUCACCUGUAGUCCCAGCUACUCGGGAGGCUGAGACAGGAGAAUAGCUUGAGCUGGGGAGGUUGAGGCUGUAAUGAGUUAUGAUCACAUCACUGCACUUCAGCCCAGGUGACAGAGUGAGACCUUGUCUCAAAAAUAAAAUGAAAAAUAUGUAAAGGGCUUGAAUAGAUAUUUCUCCAAAAGAUGGACAAAUGGCCAAUAAGCACAUGAAAAGAUGCUGAACAUCAUUAGUCAUUAGGGAAUUGCAAAUUAAUCACAAUGGGAUACUCAUCAAAAUGACUAAAAGUAAAAAACAAAAAAUCAACAGUUCCAAGUUCUAAUGAGUAUGUGGGGCAAUGGAGCACUUAUACAUUGCUGAUGAAAAUACAAAAUGAUAUAUGCCCUGGUAUGUUUUAGCUCUGUGACUCCACCUAAAUUUCAUCUUGAAGUAUACUCCCAUAAUUCCCAUAUAUUGUGGGAGGGACCCAGUGGGAGAUGAUUGAAUCAUGGGGGUGAUUCCCUGCAUACUGUUCUUGUGGUAGUGAAUAAGUCUCACAAGAUCUGAUGGUUUGAUAAGAGGUUUCCACUUCCGC
rnacentral:lncRNA from 1 species